rnacentral:rRNA from 1 species
CCUACGGGAUGCAGCAGUAGGGAAUCUUCCACAAUGGGCGAAAGCCUGAUGGAGCAACGCCGCGUGGGUGAAGAAGGUCUUCGGAUCGUAAAACCCUGUUGUUAGAGAAGACAGUGCGUGAGAGUAACUGUUCACGUUUCGACGGUAUCUAACCAGAACGCCACGGCUAACUACGUGCCAGCAGCCGCGGCAAUACGUAGGUGGCAUGCGUUAUCCGGUUUUAUUUGGCGUAAAGGGAACGCAGGCGGUCUUUUAAGUCUGAUGGGAAAGCCUUCGGCUUAACCGGAGUAGUGCAUUGGAAACUGGGAGACUUGAGUGCAGAAGAGGAGAGUGGAACGCGAUGGGUAGCGGUGAAAUGCGUAGAUAUAUGGAAGAACACCAGUGGCGAAAGCGGCUCUCUGGUCUGUCACUGACGCUGAGGUUCGAAAGCGUGGGUAGCAAACAGGAUUAGAUACCCGUGUAGUC